rnacentral:rRNA from 1 species
UGAGGAAUAUUGCGCAAUGGAGGAAACUCUGACGCAGCAACGCCGCGUGAGUGAAGAAGGCCCUCGGGUUGUAAAGCUCUGUCAGGUGGGAAGAACCCUCUGUAGUUGAAUAGGCUACAGAACUGACGGUACCACCAAAGGAAGCACCGGCUAACUCCGUGCCAGCAGCCGCGGUAAGACGGAGGGUGCAAGCGUUGUUCGGAAUCACUGGGCGUAAAGCGCGUGUAGGCGGCUUGACAAGUCGAAUGUGAAAGCCCGGGGCUCAACCUCGGAAGUGCAUUCGAAACUGUCAGGCUUGAGUACGGGAGAGGGAAGUGGAAUUCCUGGUGUAGAGGUGAAAUUCGUAGAUAUCGGGAGGAACAUCAGUGGCGAAGGCGCCCUUCUGGACAGCAACUGACGCUGAGACGCGAAAGCGUGGGGAGCAAACA